rnacentral:rRNA from 1 species
AACGAACGCUGGCGGCAGGCUUAACACAUGCAAGUCGAACGCCCCGCAUGGGGAGUGGCUGACGGGUGAGUAACGCGUGGGAACAUACCCUUUUCUACGGAAUAGCUCUGGGAAACUGGAAUUAAUACCGUAUACGCCCUCCGGGGGAAAGAUUUAUCGGGGAAGGAUUGGCCCUCGUUGGAUUAGCUAGUUGGUGGGGUAAAGGCCUACCAAGGCGACGAUCCAUAGCUGGUCUGAGAGGAUGAUCAGCCACAUUGGGACUGAGACACGGCCCAAACUCCUACGGGAGGCAGCAGUGGGGAAUAUUGGACAAUGGGCGCAAGCCUGAUCCAGCCAUGCCGCGUGAGUGAUGAAGGCCUUAGGGUUGUAAAGCUCUAUCACCGAUGAAGAUAAUGACGGUAGUAGGAGAAGAAGCCCCGGCUAACUUCGUG